rnacentral:rRNA from 1 species
GUAGGUGGCUUGUAAAGUGAAUAGUGAAACCUGGUGGCUCAACCAUACAGACUAUUAUUCAAACUCACAAGCUCGAGAGUAGCAGAGGUAACNUGGAAUUUCUUGUGUAGGAGUGAAAUCCGUAGAUAUAAGAAGGAACACCAAUGGCGUAGGCAGGUUACUGGGCUAUUUCUGACACUGAGGCACGAAAGCGUGGGGAGCGAACCGGAUUAGAUACCCGGGUAGUCCACGCCGUAAACGAUGGAUACUAGCUGUUGGAGGUAUCGACCCCUUCAGUAGCGAAGCUAACGCGUUAAGUAUCCCGCCUGUGGAGUACGGUCGCAAGACUAAAACAUAAAGGAAUUGACGGGGACCCGCACAAGCGGUGGAUCGUGUUCUUUAAUUCGAUGAUAAACGAAGAACCUUACCAGGGUUUGACAUCCUUGGAAUUUCUGUGAAAGCAGAGAGUGCUUUAUUGAGCCAAGUGACAGGUGAUGCAUGGCCGUCGUCAGCUCGUGUCGUGAGAUGUUUGGUUAAGUCCAUCAACGAGCGCAACCCUUGUGAAUAGUUGUAUUUUUCUAUUCAGACUGCCCCGGUAACGGGGAGGAAGGAGGGGNAUGAUGUCAGGUCAGUAUUUCCCUUACACCCUGGGCUAGAAACACGAUACAAUGGUUAGUACAAUGCGCAGCGAAGCCGCGAGGCGGAGCAAAUCGCAUC